rnacentral:lncRNA from 1 species
GAGCAUGCUUCUGGAUCUGGAUCCUGGGAAACAAGGAUACAUGACACACAGAAAGAUUAAAGGAAAAAGAGAAGAGAAUGUAAAGACAAAAGAGGGAUACAAGAUGAAGAGUUUUCUCUCUACAGGAUCUGAAUAACUUUCUUCAGUAGGGUGUUUCUUUAUCUACUUAACCUUCAGAGAAAUCAAGUCCAAGAUCACACAAUAAGUGGCAAAAUCCAAAGUUGAACCCAGUGUUUUUCCCCCAACCCCAGCAGCUUCCAUUUGAAGAGGGAAAUCAUUUGAGAGACUAUGAUACACGAUGAAGAGAAGCAGGGAAUCUGCAGAGGCUGUUUAUACGCUCUAUUGAAUAGAGGUCACCCUCAUCAUUGCUGAUUCAAGACAUGGAAGCUGAAGCUGUAAUCAGAUUGGGGCUCAGAAGAAUCCCACAGUUCCAGAAGUCAUUUUAAGAACACUUAGAAAACCCUUGGAAUUCCUCUUCAGGGAGUUUUUGUUCUUGUAGGUUAUUUCCCUCACCUGCAUGGACAUGGCUGGCUCCCCACCAUCCCUCUCUGUGUUUCAGCCCAUGGAAAUGGAGAAAGAGAAG